rnacentral:rRNA from 1 species
CCUACGGGUGGCAGCAGUGGGGAAUAUUGCACAAUGGGGGAAACCCUGAUGCAGCGACGCCGCGUGAGUGAAGAAGUAAUUCUUUACGUAAAGCUCUAUCAGCCGGGAAGAAAAUGACGGUACCUGAGUACGAAGCCCCGGCUAACUACGUGCCAGCAGCCGCGGUCAUACGUAGGGGGCAAGCGUUAUCCGGAUUUACUGGGUGUAAAGGGAGCGUAGACGGUGCGCCAAGUCUGGGGUGAAAUGCCGCAGCUUAACUGCGGAACUGCGUUGGAAACGGGCGAACUAGAGGGGGGGAGGGGUAAGCGGAAUUCCUGGUGUGGCGGGGAAAUGCGUAGAUAUUAGGAGGAACACCGGUGGCGAAGGCGGCUGACUGGACCGGAACUGACGUUGAGGCUCGAAAGCGUGGGGAGCAAACAGGAUUAGAUACCCGGGUAGU